rnacentral:rRNA from 1 species
AUUGAACGCUGGCGGCAGGCCUAACACAUGCAAGUCGAGCGAGCGGCGGACGGGGGAGUAAUGUAUGGGGACUGCCCGAUAGAGGGGGAUAACUACUGGAAACGGUAGCUAAUAACGCAUACUAUCGGAUAACCCAUAUGGGAUUAGCUCGUAGGUGAGGUAAUGGCUCACCUAGGCGACGAUCCCUCGCUGGUCUGAGAGGAGGAACAGCCACACUGGGACUGAGACACGGCCCAGACUCCUACGGAGUCAGCAGUGGGGAAUAUUGCACAAUGGGCGAAAGCCUGAUGCAGCCAUGCCGCGUGUAUGAAGAAGGCCUUCGGGUUGUAAAGUACUUUCAGGCGGGAGGCGUUACCGACAGAAGAAGCACCGGCUAACUCCGUGCCAGCAGCCGCGGUAAUAC